rnacentral:rRNA from 1 species
AGUGAACGCUGGCGGUAGGCCUAACACAUGCAAGUCGAGCGGCAGCACAGUAAGAGCUUGCUCUUACGGGUGGCGAGUGGCGGACGGGUGAGGAAUACAUCGGAAUCUACUUUUUCGUGGGGGAUAACGUAGGGAAACUUACGCUAAUACCGCAUACGACCUACGGGUGAAAGCAGGGGAUCUUCGGACCUUGCGCGAUUGAAUGAGCCGAUGUCGGACUAGCUAGUUGGCGGGGUAAAGGCCCACCAAGGCGACGAUCCGUAGCUGGUCUGAGAGGAUGAUCAGCCACACUGGAACUGAGACACGGUCCAGACUCCUACGGGAGGCAGCAGUGGGGAAUAUUGGACAAUGGGCGCAAGCCUGAUCCAGCCAUACCGCGUGGGUGAAGAAGGCCUUCGGGUUGUAAAGCCCUUUUGUUGGGAAAGAAAAGCAGCAGGUUAAUACCCCGCUGUUCUGACGGUACCCAAAGAAUAAGCACCGGCUAACUUCGUG